rnacentral:rRNA from 1 species
UACGUAGGGGGCUAGCGUUGUCCGGAAUCAUUGGGCGUAAAGCGCGUGUAGGCGGUCCGGUAAGUCCGCUGUGAAAGUCGGGGGCUCAACCCUCGGAUGCCGGUGGAUACUGUCGGGCUUGAGUACGGAAGAGGCGAGUGGAAUUCCUGGUGUAGCGGUGAAAUGCGCAGAUGUCAGGAGGAACACCAAUUGCGAAGGCAGCUCGCUGGGACGUUGCUGACGCUGAGACGCGAAAGCGUGGGGAGCAAACAGG